rnacentral:snRNA from 1 species
GUACUCGCUUUGGCAGCACAUAUAUUAAAAUUGGAAAGAUACAGAGAAGAUCAGCAUGGCCCCUGCACAAGGGUGACAUGCAAAUUCAUGAAGCAUUCCAUAUUUUU